CUGGCGGCAUGCCUAAGACAUGCAAGUCGUACGAAGCGGCCCACUGAAGUCUGAGUGCUUGCGCAAAGAUGGACGUGGAUCACCGCUUAGUGGCAAACGGGUGAGUAACACGUGGGUUACCUGCCUCUAAAGUUGGGGGAUAACAGUUGGAAACGACUGGUAAUACCGAAUGUGCUCUACGGAGUAAAGAAGCCCUUAAAGCUUCGCUUAGAGAUGGGCCUGCGGCGCAUUAGCUAGUUGGUGAGGUAAUGGCCCACCAAGGCAACGAUGCGUAGCCGAACUGAGAGGUUGAUCGGCCACAUUGGGACUGAGACACGGCCCAGACUCCUACGGGAGACAGCAGUUAGGAAUAUUCGUCAAUGGGGGAAACCCUGAACGAGCAAUGCCGCGUGAGUGAUGAAGGUCUUACAGAUUGUAAAACUCUGUUGUAUGGAAAAAAUGACUAGGUUAGGAAAUGAACCUAGUGUGAUGGUACCAUGCCAGAAAGCCCCGGCUAACUACGUG
rnacentral:rRNA from 1 species